CCUACGGGAGGCAGCAGUGGGGCAUAUUGCACAAUGGGGGAAACCCUGAUGCAGCAACGCCGCGUGAGGGAAGACGGUUUUCGGAUUGUAAACUACUGUUCUUAGUGAAGAAUAAUGACGGUAGCUAAGGAGCAAGCAACGACUAACUACGUGCCAGCAGCCGCGGUAAUACGUAGGUGGCAAGCGUUGUCCGGAAUUACUGGGUGAAAAGGGAGCGCAGGCGGGAGGCCAAGUCAGCUGUGAAAACUACGGGUCUAACUUGUAGACUGCAGUUGACACUGGUUGUCUUGAGUGAAGUAGAGGUUGGCGGAAUUCCGAGUGUAGCGGUGAAAUGCGUAGAUAUUCGGAGGAACACCGGUGGCGAAGGCGGCCAACUGGGCUUUAACUGACGCGGAGGCUCGAAAGUGUGGGGAGCAAACAGGAUUAGAUACCCGAGUAGUC
rnacentral:rRNA from 1 species